GUUAAGUAAGGGCGCAUGGCGGAUGCCUAGGCUCUCAGAGGCGAUGAAGGACGUGAUAAGCUGCGAAAAGUUACGGGGAGGGGCACAUACCUUAUAAUCCGUAAAUAUCCGAAUGGGGCAACCCACUAUAUUGAAGAUAUAGUAUGCUAUAAGCAAGUAAACCCGGUGAACUGAAACAUCUAAGUAACCGGAGGAAGAGAAAACAAAAGUGAUUCCGUUAGUAGUGGCGAGCGAACGCGGAUUAGCCCAAACCAAUGUUGUUACGGCAAUAUUGGGGUUGUAGGACCACGAUAUUCAAUGCUAAGUGAAUUAGAACUGUUUGGAAAGACAGACCAGAGAGGGUGAUAGUCCCGUAAAAGUAAGCGAAGUUAUUGAUAGUGGUAUCCUGAGUAGUGCGGGACACGAGUAAUCCUGUAUGAAUCCACCGGGACCAUCCGGUAAGGCUAAAUACUCCUCAGAGACCGAUAGUGAACUAGUACCGUGAGGGAAAGGUGAAAAGUACCCUGAGUAAGGGGGUGAAAUAGUACCUGAAACCGUGCGCUUACAAGCGGUCGGAGGUCCUACGUGGACUGACGGCGUGCCUUUUGCAUAAUGAGCCUACGAGUUGUUGUUGUUGGCAAGGUUAACCACGUAGACGUGGGAAUCCGAAGCGAAAGCGAGUCUUAACAGGGCGUUUAGUCAGCAGUAGCAGACGCGAAACUUGGUGAUCUACCCAUGGGCAGGGUGAAGUGUAGGUAACACUACAUGGAGGACCGAACCACCAGACGUUGAAAAGUCUUUGGAUGAACUGUGGGUAGGGGUGAAAGGCCAAUCAAACUGGGAAAUAG
rnacentral:rRNA from 18 species